rnacentral:rRNA from 1 species
GACGAACGCUGGCGGCGUGCCUAAUACAUGCAAGUCGAACGCUUCUUUCCUCCCGAGUGCUUGCACUCAAUUGGAAAGAGGAGUGGCGGACGGGUGAGUAACACGUGGGUAACCUACCCAUCAGAGGGGGAUAACACUUGGAAACAGGUGCUAAUACCGCAUAACAGUUUAUGCCGCAUGGCAUAAGAGUGAAAGGCGCUUUCGGGUGUCGCUGAUGGAUGGACCCGCGGUGCAUUAGCUAGUUGGUGAGGUAACGGCUCACCAAGGCCACGAUGCAUAGCCGAACUGAGAGGGUGAUCGGCCACACUGGGACUGAGACACGGCCCAGACUCCUACGGGAGGCAGCAGUAGGGAAUCUUCGGCAAUGGACGAAAGUCUGACCGAGCAACGCCGCGUGAGUGAAGAAGGUGUUCGGAUCGUAAAACUCUGUUGUUAGAGAAGAACAAGGACGUUAGUAACUGAACGUCCCCUGACGGUAUCUAACCAGAAAGCCACGGCUAACUACGUG